GCCAUAGCUCGGUGGCAGAGCAUCUGUUUUGAGUACAGAAGGCCCCAGGUUCAAUCCCUGGAAUUCUUAGGUA